CCCUUAGAUGUUCUGGGCCGCACGCGCGCUACACUGAUGCAUUCAACGAGCCUAUCCUUGACCAACAGGUCCAGGUAAUCUUUGAAUCUGCAUCGUGACGGGGAUAGAUUAUUGCAAUUAUUAAUCUUCAACGAGGAAUGCCUAGUAGGCGCAAGUCAUCAGCUUGCGUCGAUUACGUCCCUGCCCUUUGUACACACCGCCCGUCGCUCCUACCGAUUGGGUGUGCUGGUGAAAUGUUCGGAUCGGCCGUUUGUCGCGGUUUCCGCGGCUCGUGGCUGAGAAGUUCAUUAAACCCUCCCACCUAGAGGAAGGAGAAGUCGUAACA
rnacentral:rRNA from 1 species